UGGGAUGCGUAGGGAGAAGCUGUGAUA
rnacentral:piRNA from 1 species